rnacentral:lncRNA from 1 species
GGCAAGUGGGAGGAAGUGUCACAGCUCUUUUAUUUCUGCCACCCACAGCUUGGUGAGUAGGAGCAUUACAGCUCUUUUGCUCCCACAGUUCAGCAAAUUCUGAGUUCCUGUCCCAUGACCAAGAGGAAUGAGGAACAUGGACACCGGAGAAUGAGUAAGGCAGAGUAGAAUUUUAUUCAUCAGCGAGAGGGGACCUGAAAGCAGGUCGCCAUCUGUGAGGGUCAGCUUUUGGUCCAGUGACUCACUCACAGAAACUCCAAGACAGAUUAAACUAGCAAGAGUUGAAUAUCUGAAUUUCCAAAAUUAUGAGGCUACAAAAAGAAGCAUAGAUUAAAGUUAGGACCAAAUGCUGCUCAGAAAUUGUUUUAAUCUCAAAAGUAGUUGGCAAGUUUUCAGAGUUCAUUUUCAAGGCCUGGUGUAUGCAUUGGUUACAUGAAAACCGUGUGACAACCUUGGAAGUCUGAAAGAGCAGGAGAGAGGCUAAGCACACACAUAUUGUGAUUUUAAGAGUCUCAAGGGCUGACACAAGCUGAGAUGAGGAAAUAUGACCUCCUACACGUGUUUUCCAUGAGGAAUAUGUUUGCUGUGCAGUCACUGAGUUAAAAGCAACCUUCAUUCCCUUGUGCACCAAGGUAGUGCCUCUCCAGAGCUGUAGAUGUCUUCCCAGGAUAUUCCAUCAUUCUACACAGCAUUUAAUUCUUGGAGCUCACAGUCCAAGACUGUUAUCAGUCCAUUUUCACUCUAUUGAUCAAGACAUACUCAAGACUGGGUAAUUUAUAAAGAAA